rnacentral:rRNA from 1 species
UGAGCCUACGGGGGGCAGCAGUGGGGAAUAUUGCACAAUGGGGGGAACCCUGAUGCAGCGACGCCGCGUGAGUGAAGAAGUAUUUCGGUAUGUAAAGCUCUGUCAGCAGGGAAGAAGAAAGACGGUACCUGACCAAGAAGCCCCGGCUAACUACGUGCCAGCAGCCGCGGUAAUACGUAGGGGGCAAGCGAUAUCCGGGUUUACUGGGGGUAAAGGGAGCGUAUACGGCAGGGCAAGUC